rnacentral:piRNA from 1 species
UGGGAAGUCACCUUGUGUAGUAGGAUGCA